rnacentral:pre_miRNA from 1 species
AAAAAGACAAACCCUGGUUUCCGUGCCCAAUAUUUGACCGUCCGUCUUAUUUUUGAAAAAAAUAUAAAAAAAUUAAAAAGACAAGUCACGCAUAAAAUAUUAAUCAUGUUUUAUCAUCUAACAACAAUGAAAAUACGAAUUAUAAAAAAAUUUCAUAUAAGACGGACAGUCAAAGUUGGACACGGAAACCCAAGGUUUGCCUUUUU